rnacentral:rRNA from 1 species
CGGACGGGUGAGUAACGCGUGGAUAACCUGCCUUUCACAGGGGGAUAACAGCUGGAAACGGCUGCUAAUACCGCAUGAGCCUCUUUUGUCGCAUGAGAAGAGAGGGAAAGAGAAAUCGGUGAGAGAUGGAUCCGCGUCCAAUUAGCUAGUUGGAGGGGUAACAGCCCACCAAGGCGACGAUCGGUAGCCGACCUGAGAGGGUGGACGGCCACAUUGGGACUGAGACACGGCCCAAACUCCUACGGAAGGCAGCAG